CUGAAGAAGAAGAAAGCCGGCGGAUUUGACGUUCACGACGGAGACGGUUAAGAUUAUCGUGACUUCUCCUUACAGAAACGCCACGCAAUUACAGAAGGAUGAUAGUGAAAAGCAGAAGCGGACAAGAAGCUUUGCCUGUUGUAGUAACAGAAAUGGAAGACAUGUGAGAGACAGAAGAGAAGCUUCAUGGUGUUUUUAUUAUGGUUUUAUCAUGUUUCUUGUACAAGUCAUUUGAUGUUCCUCCCCUCAUUUCCAUA